rnacentral:tRNA from 1 species
CAGUAAAUAGUUUAAUUAAAAUAUUAAUUUUGGAGAUUAAUGAUGAAAUUUUUUCUUUACUGA